rnacentral:rRNA from 1 species
UACGUAGGGGGCAAGCGUUGUCCGGAUUUAUUGGGCGUAAAGAGCGUGUAGGCGGUUAUACAGGUCCGCUGUGAAAACUGGAGGCUUAACCUCCAGACGUCGGUGGAAACCGUAUGACUAGAGUCCGGAAGAGGAGAGUGGAAUUCCUGGUGUAGCGGUGGAAUGCGCAGAUAUCAGGAGGAACACCGGUGGCGAAGGCGGGUCUCGUGGGCAGUGAACUGACGCUGAGGAGCGAAAGACGUGGGGAGCGAACAGG